AGCCAAAGCUCCUCUGAACCCUACCUGGGGCUCUCCCACAAAGAUGCCUCCUGGAUUCCAGCUCCUCCCGUCAAAGUUCAAGGCCUGGGAAAUGUGGCCUUCAAGGACAAAAAUAAUCCCCUGCGGGGAUAGGGCAAAAAUGAACCCCGAAGGGAGCUUGGGGGGCCGCCUGGACUUGCCCACCAGUGAGGGCCGAGACUUUCCUCUGAGAAGGAGUUUGCGACGCUAUGCUUGGAAGGCAACCGUCAGGUGCUAAGCAGAACCAUGCUUGGGCCUUCCACACCAGUCAAGGUACUCUCACAGCAAAGCCCCACCGAAGGGGCCCACAGGUUGGAUUCGAGGUACGUGAAGUCCCAAGAGAUGACAUGAAGCCCCAAAUGGAUGCCCUGGCUCCCCAGCACCAGAGGGAAACGCCCCCUCACCGAAGACAGUGGCAAGUGCCAUGCUUCAAGUAACACAGGGAGCGGCCUCCAGUGCACCUGUUUUAGCAGCCAGUC
rnacentral:lncRNA from 1 species